rnacentral:misc_RNA from 1 species
UUUCCUUCUUGCGCAAGCAGAGUUGAGAACAGGCUAUGCCUUUUUCGAAAUGGAACGUCGUGGACGAAGUGAACUAAACAUUUAGCACGCUUUGGCCGCCGAACUUUUAACUAA